rnacentral:rRNA from 1 species
CAGCUUGCUGAUUCGCUGACGAGUGGCGGACGGGUGAGUAAUGUCUGGGAAACUGCCUGAUGGAGGGGGAUAACUACUGGAAACGGUAGCUAAUACCGCAUAAUGUCGCAAGACCAAAGAGGGGGACCUUCGGGCCUCUUGCCAUCGGAUGUGCCCAGAUGGGAUUAGCUAGUAGGUGGGGUAACGGCUCACCUAGGCGACGAUCCCUAGCUGGUCUGAGAGGAUGACCAGCCACACUGGAACUGAGACACGGUCCAGACUCCUACGGGAGGCAGCAGUGGGGAAUAUUGCACAAUGGGCGCAAGCCUGAUGCAGCCAUGCCGCGUGUAUGAAGAAGGCCUUCGGGUUGUAAAGUACUUUCAGCGGGGAGGAA